rnacentral:tRNA from 1 species
GAGGGUAUAGCUCAAUGGUAGAGUGUCUGCUUAGCACGCAUGAGGUCCUGGGUUCAAUCCCCGGUACCUCCA